rnacentral:misc_RNA from 1 species
AACCCCCUCAAGCGCAGCUUGUUGUUGGGCGUUUGUCCCGCCCCCGGCCGGACUCGCCCCGAAUCCAUUGGCGGCCCCCGCAUUGGGCUAUCGAGCGCAGCAGAAUUGCGCCUCGGGCACAGCGCGCGGGCGACCACUGAGCAACCCCCAUCA